CGCUAAACUAAGGAGACUGUAUUUUGCGGUACAGCAGGAAAUGGAAAGAUAAAAGCCUCUCUUUGGAGAAAGACUGACAUGAACUUGGCUCACAGGCUUUAGCUAGGUUAGAGCUGUGAUAGGAAUGUCACCUUUCUACCCUAAUACUUAUCAUCAUUGUCCAACAAAUAUUUUCCUUCCAUCAUUCUAGUCUAAGGGUCAGUUUUAUCACCUCUGGCCAAAUUUACAUGAUACGUAACUAGGGUCUAGCGUUUAUCUUCAUUUACCCUCUGGUUAAAUUUGUAAUGCCGUUUUAAACAUAAUGACAAAAUGCUGCCAACUGUGGGUGCAUUCUGCAAGGUGCCACAUCGUGUCCAUCAUCAGUUGUUCCCCCACCAUCUUCGUCAAGUUUCGUGACACAUCGGGUCUUGUCGUAACAUUAUGGCAUUGGGCUAUUCAAUGGGGUAUUCCUGACUUCAGGCAUUUCGAAAGGGCAAUUUUUCAUUUGGGUCCCUCAGAAAUCUGAGAUGGCCCCUAAGAAAACAAAUUGCAGGCUAGAUGGCUGCUAAGACUUCAUGCGGAGUUUCAAACACUGGAUAUUUUGUUAUUUUUCCUUCUGCCAAGCGAAAUUUGACAAGAAGUUCAGGGUAACAAGAGGUGAUAGAUUGCUACUUUCUUAGUUAUCUCCUUGCAGCACAAAAUCAGUAGUUUGAUCACAGGUGAUAUAGUCGACCCUUAAUAUUCAAAUAUAUAGGAUGUCCACCACCAGUCACCUCUAAUUUUUCAUAAAUGAGUGGUGCUAUUAAAAUCCACAGAAAUUCACUAGCUCAAACACAUCAAAGAAGAACAUGUCCUAACACCUCAACACUUAUUAUAUCACUGAGUGCAUAGGAGUGACACAUGCCACUCGGCAAAAUAUUGUAGAUCCAGCUCAUAACUCUUAUAAUUCAUAAUUGAAUCGUACAUGUUGAAAACACGCCAUCUCUUUCUCUCUGUAAUAC